UACACACCGCCCGUCACACCAUGGGAGUGGGUUGCUCCAGAAGUAGGUAGCCUAACCGCGAGGGGGGCGCUUACCACGGAGUGAUUCAUGACUGGGGUG
rnacentral:rRNA from 1 species